GAUGAAGAACGCAGCGAAAUGCGAUAAGUAAUGCGAAUUGCAGAAUUUCCGUGAGUCAUCGAAUCUUUGAACGCACAUUGCGCCCAUUGGCAUUCCGAUGGGCAUGCCUGUUCGAGCGUCAUUUCAACCAUCAAGCCCCCGGGCUUGUGUUGGGGACCUGCGGCUGCCGCAGGCCCUGAAAAGCAGUGGCGGGCUCGCUGUCACACCGAGCGUAGUAGAUUUUAUCUCGCUCUGGGCGUGCUGCGGGUUCCGGCCGUUAAACCACCCUUUUAACCCAAGGUUGACCUCGGAUCAGGUAGGAAGACCCGCUGAACUUAAGCAUAUCAAUAAGCGGAGGA
rnacentral:misc_RNA from 1 species